rnacentral:rRNA from 1 species
GAUAUUGGACAAUGGGGGCAAUCCUGAUCCAGCCAUGCCGCGCGUGUGCCGAAGGUCCUCGUAUUGUAAAGCACUGUAAGUUGGGAGGAAGGGUUUUAGGAUAAUAUGCUGAAGUCUGUACGUUACCAACAUAAUAAGCACCGGCUAACUCUGUGCCAUCAGCCGCGGUAAUACAGAGGGUGCAAGCGUUAACCGGAAUUACUGGGCGUAAAGCUCGCGUAGGUGGUUCAGUGAGAUAGGUGUGAAAUCCCCGGGCUUAACCUGGGAACUGCUUUCAUAACUGCUGAGCUAGAGUACGGUAGAGGGUAGUGGAAUUUCCUGUGUAGCGGUGAAAUGCGUAGAUAUAGGAAGGAACACCAGUGGCGAAGGCGACUACCUGGACUGAUACUGACACUGAGGUGCGAAAGCGUGGGGAGCAAACA